rnacentral:rRNA from 1 species
UACGAAGGGUGCAAGCGUUAAUCGGAAUUACUGGGCGUAAAGCGUGCGCAGGCGGUUUCUUAAGUCCGUUGUGAAAGCCCUGGGCUCAACCUGGGAACUGCGAUGGAUACUGAGGAGCUGGAGUACGGUAGAGGAAGGUGGAAUUCCCGGUGUAGCGGUGAAAUGCGCAGAUAUCAGGAGGAACACCGAUUGCGAAGGCAGCUCGCUGGGACGUAACUGACGCUGAGACGCGAAAGCGUAGGGAGCAAACAGG